rnacentral:rRNA from 1 species
UACGAAGGGGGCUAGCGUUGCUCGGAAUUACUGGGCGUAAAGGGCGCGUAGGCGGCACUGUUAGUCAGGCGUGAAAGUCCUGGGCUCAACCUGGGAACUGCGCUUGAUACGGCAGAGCUAGAGGAUGGAAGAGGCUCGCGGAAUUCCCAGUGUAGAGGUGAAAUUCCUAGAUAUUGGGAAGAACACCGGUGGCGAAGGCGGCGAGCUGGUCCAUUACUGACGCUGAGGCGCGACAGCGUGGGGAGCAAACAGG